UCCUGGUUUCCCAGGCAGUCUGGCUAGAGUGCUUCCGAAGAAUAGCAACUAACCACAGGGGUUGCGCUCGUUAAAGGACUUAACCCAACAUCUCACGACACGAGCUGACGACAGCCAUGCAGCACCUGUUCAUCUGUCUAGGUUUCCCUAGAAGGCUACUAUCUCUAGCGCUUUCAAAUGUAUGUCAAACCCAGGUAAGGUUCCUCGCGUAGUGUCGAAUUAAACCACAUGUUCCACCGCUUGUGCGGACCCCCGUCAAUUCCUUUGAGUUUUAAUCUUGCGACCGUACUCCCCAGGCGGAUCACUUACCGCGUUAGCUCCGAUACCGAACCCCCGAAAGGUCCCGACAUCUAGUGAUCAUCGUUUACAGCGUGGACUAC
rnacentral:misc_RNA from 1 species